rnacentral:rRNA from 1 species
AUGUUCUUUAAAUUUAAAGAAUUUGGCGGUAGUUUAGUCUGGUUAGAGGAACCUGUUUUUUAAUCGAUACACCACGUUAUAUCUUACUUAUUUUGUAUUGGUUUGUAUACCAUCAUUAGCAGAUAAUUUUGUAUAGAAGUGAAAUUAUUGUUUAUAAUUAUUUAUAUAAAUUAGAUCAAGGUGCAGCUUAAUGAAUAAGUUAAAAUGGGUUACAAUAAAUUUUAUUUAAAUGGAUUAAUAUUAGUAAGAUAGUUUAUAAAGGAGGAUUUAAUUGUAAUAUGGGUUUAAUAAGCCCAGGAGAUAAAAGUUCUAAAUUAUGUACACAUCGCC